GAUGAACGCUGGCGGCGUGCUUAACACAUGCAAGUCGAGCGAUGAAGUUUUCUUCGGGAAACGGAUUAGCGGCGGACGGGUGAGUAACACGUGGGUAACCUGCCUCAUAGAGUGGAAUAGCCUUCCGAAAGGAAGAUUAAUACCGCAUAACGUUGAAAGAUGGCAUCAUCAUUCAACCAAAGGAGCAAUCCGCUAAGAGAUGGACCCGCGGCGCAUUAGCUAGUUGGUGGGGUAACGGCCUACCAAGGCGACGAUGCGUAGCCGACCUGAGAGGGUGAUCGGCCACAUUGGGACUGAGACACGGCCCAGACUCCUACGGGAGGCAGCAGUGGGGAAUAUUGCACAAUGGGGGAAACCCUGAUGCAGCAACGCCGCGUGAGUGAUGAAGGUUUUCGGAUCGUAAAGCUCUGUCUUUGGGGAAGAUAAUGACGGUACUCAAGGAGGAAGCCACGGCUAACUACGUGCCAGCCGCCGCAGUAA
rnacentral:rRNA from 1 species